rnacentral:rRNA from 1 species
UCCCUACGGGGGGCAGCAGUGGGGAAUAUUGGGCAAUGGGCGCAAGCCUGACCCAGCAACGCCGCGUGAGUGAAGAAGUAUUUCGGUAUGUAAAGCUCUAUCAGCAGGGAAGAAAAAAGACGGUACCUGACUAAGAAGCCCCGGCUAACUACGUGCCAGCAGCCGCGGUAAUACGUAGGGGGCAAGCGUUAUCCGGAUUUACUGGGUGUAAAGGGAGCGUAGACGGCAAUACAAGUCGGAAGUGAAAUACCCGGGCUCAACCUGGGAACUGCUUUGGAAACUGUAUGGCUAGAGUGCUGGAGAGG